rnacentral:miRNA from 1 species
UAAGUUGUAAUAUGUUGUGU